rnacentral:rRNA from 1 species
UACGUAGGUGGCAAGCGUUGUCCGGAUUUAUUGGGCGUAAAGAGCUCGUAGGCGGUUCGAUAAGUCGGGUGUGAAAACUUUGGGCUCAACCCAAAGCGUGCAUUCGAUACUGUUGUGACUAGAGUUCGGUAGGGGAGUGGGGAAUUCCUGGUGUAGCGGUGAAAUGCGCAGAUAUCAGGAGGAACACCGGUGGCGAAGGCGGGUCUCUGGGCCGAUACUGACGCUGAGGAGCGAAAGUGUGGGGAGCGAACAGG